rnacentral:rRNA from 1 species
UACGAGGGGGGCAAGCGUUGUUCGGAUUUAUUGGGCGUAAAGGGUGCGUAGGCGGUCUGGCAAGUCUUGUGUGAAAUCUUCGGGCUCAACCCGAAGUCUGCACAGGAAACUGCCGGGCUUGAGUAUGGGAGAGGUGAGUGGAAUUUCCGGUGUAGCGGUGAAAUGCGUAGAUAUCGGAAGGAACACCUGUGGCGAAAGCGGCUCACUGGACCAUAACUGACGCUGAGGCACGAAAGCUAGGGGAGCAAACAGG